ensembl:lncRNA
AUGGAUUCCAGAAAGUCUACAACAGUGCGGAAUUCAGAAACAGGGCAGUCUUUGCUUCCACUGCAGCAGGGCCCUCCGGAGUACUCCGAUGCUGGAUUCCCUCUCUCACACAGCUAUCCAGGCACUCCCCAGCAAUACGGAGCUGGAUCUGGCCUGUACACUCAAGGGUCAUAUCUUGGGCAGAAUGUGGUCAGUGUGCAACCUACCGUUGAAGUGUUCACUCCACUGGCCAAUCCACUGCCAGAUUACCUGGGCUACUCCAUCUUUACCAUGAUGUGCUGCUGUUUACCUCUGGGAUCGGCUGCUCUUGUUUACUCCAUCACAAGAAAGAGGUGUGGCACCACAGAACAAAAACUGAAUUCACAGCAUACUCGAGAUGCUAACAUGUUUGGACACCAGCAAAUAGCAAGCAGAAACUCUAGAAUGGCACGCAUCCUCAACCACAUCAGUGUUGCUGUUGGCCUAAGCUUCAUUUUGAUUAUUAUAAUCUACCUCAUUCUUGCUGUUGUCGUAACUACUACACGCUAUGGCAAACCGUAAUUGUAAGCAAUGUCAUGGUAGGACACCAUAAAGUUGAAGAAAGUGAGGGUUUUAGAAACAUGAGUAUAUUAUGUUUUAAAUACAAGAAGAUUUUCCAUUCUGCUUUUAAAUGUUAAUUUUGCUCAAGGUAUUUUUUAUAUGAUUGCUUUUAGACUUUACUGUAUGUAUGAGGAGCUCCAUCUAGGGAUGAUUCAGUAUGUUUAGUGUAACUAACUCCUCACCAUAUCAUUGUUUUUACAUAAUUAAAAGACAUGCUUUUUAAAGUUAAUUAUUUUUUUGUUUUAAAACAAUGGAAGCUUUAACUGUUAAAGUAAAUGCAGCAUCAAUUAAAAAAAAAAAUUCUACUUGUCUUUAAAUUAGGCUACAUAAAUCUUGGAAUAAUUAUGUCAUAACUUUUAUCAUUGUCUGUUUUUUCCAUAACACACUAACAUUUUCAUUUUCUCUGCUUUUUAGUUUAGUUUUAUAAUCUUCUUCAUCAUCAACAUCUUCUUCUUCUUCUUGAAUGAAUGAAUGAAACAUUUAUAUAGCGCUUUAUUGUGUAUUGCUGUACACCCAAGGCACUUUAUAAUCAUAUCAUGGGAUUUCUCCUCAACCACCACCAGUGUGCAGUCACCUGGUUGAUACGACGGCAGCCACAGUACAACAGCGCCAAUGCGCUCACCACACAGCUAUUCAUAGUUUCUGUCACGUGACUGGCUCGAAGACCUGGUGGGCAAAACAUCCACAGAACUGCAGCACAAGCCUGUCAAUUUUCUAUCUGUUCCAAUAAAAAAAUAUUUAAUCACA